rnacentral:rRNA from 1 species
UGUGUAGGCGGUCUUCUAAGUGUGGUGUGAAAUCUCCCGGCUCAACUGGGAGGGUGCGCUACGGACUGGGAGGCUAGAGUGCGGGAUGGGAGAGUGGAAUUCCUGGUGUAGCGGUGAAAUGCGUAGAUAUCAGGAGGAACACCUGUGGUGUAGACGGCUCUCUGGACCGUAACUGACGCUGAGACACGAAAGCGUGGGUAGCAAACAGGAUUAGAUACCCUGGUAGUCCACGCCCUAAACGAUGCACAUUUGGUGUGGGCCAUUCAUUUGGUCUGUGCCGGAGCUAACGCGUUAAAUGUGCCGCCUGGGGAGUACGGUCGCAAGGCUGAA